UCAAGCUCCUCCCUAGCCUUCUUCCUCCCUUCACCAGGCAGCCUGGCCCUGUCGCUGUCCUCCUUGGACUGACGCUGAAGCUUCGUUUUAUUUUAUCGCCAGUCUCUCACGUUCUUGACUGCGUCGACAGAGCAACGUCAGUCCAUCGGCCCAUUAUUUAUCGGCCCACCGGGAAAAAUCCCGGUACUCCCGACUGUCCCCUGAAACAGCAGUUCUCUGGAGUGGCUGUGUGUGCGUGUGCGCGCGCAUGCACGAGUGCGCACGAGCGUGCUCUUUUGUUUAGGGGCACAAAAAAAUAUUUGUACCGGGGCGAGUCACCAUGAUGUUACGCUACUGGUUGAUAGUCUCGUAAGACAGCGUUAAGUGAGCCUGGCGUCAGUCACCUCUCAGUCAUAGCACCACCUGUGCAUUAGAGUCCGACAGAGAUAGAGCGGCGCCACCUCAGUUCAAUGUAGUGGUUGUUUUUUUCACAACAAUGGCUGAGCACGAAGCCCCUCAAAAGUUCCCGAAAGUUAGCACAAGCUAACUUCCACUCAAUGUAAUUCCUAUGGAGAACACGGUGCUGCAUGCCAGGAGUGCUGAGUAGACAAUGGUGAUGAUAUCUUGCGUACAUUUUGGAACCUACAGUAGGAGCACUUUGCUGUGCAGCAUCAGUGAUGUUGCAGGCCAGGAAUACUGAGUGGACCACAGUGAGACUGAAAACGUAAGCAUGAUGGAAGCCUGCUUGAGAGUGCCAGAACCUCCUUCUCCAACACACCCUCUGCAUUUGGAAGCUCCAAGAGGGAGGAACCAGUCUUUGUCCUUCCCUUCCCUUGGUUUUUGCAUUGUUUUUCCUGUUCUGUGUUCUCUGUUUUUAAUUAAAAAAAUCUUAAACUUCCCAGUGGUGUAGUAUUUGAAAGUCUGCGGAAGUGCAGAUGCAUUGUUUGAAUAUAAUUAGCCCACAUAUUUCUUUGUUGUUUAAGUCUUUGAAGGUGGUUAAAUUGCUCCUUCUGACUUUAGCCACCUAUGCUUUUCUCCUUUCUCUGUCUUUGAGGAAGCCAGACAGUAAUUUCUCAGAGCGACUGGGGCAUCCCCAUGUAGCACAGCACACCAUGGUGAAGACUGUAUUCAAGGACAACAUUGCAAAAAUGACACAAACAGCUUGAUAUGCUGAUCAGACUUCUUUAGAAACUGUUUUUAAGGAAUACACUGUGGCACUCACUCUGCACCACGUGUCCGAUCGACUGUAAGAGGGAAUCCGAGUUGAAUGAAUGUAGGCUACUAAGAAGAACGAAGAAAGAAAAUAGAAUAAUAAAUAAGUUUGCUCCACCACAUCUCAAAACUAGCCACUAUUGAACUGCAGAAAGGGAGUACAAGGAAAAAGCUCAACAAGACAGUUCUCUUUCAGGGUUUUUAACUUGUGUGAAACUCUGGUGAGUUUUGUAAAUGUGUAAAUAUGGUUUGGGGUGGGGAUGUGUUAUGUUCUGUUAAAUUGAGAAUGUAUCUUUACAUUACGUUUUCAUUACAUGUUAUUCUCUCUGCUUUGUUACACAUGUCUGAGCAUGUAGAGGCAUUCCACUUCCUUCCCGUCCCCAUUUGUUAUCCAGGUUUUGUUUUAGUCACUCAUGAUUCUCUCUCUCUCAUUUCUCACUCAUUGACCUGAUAUGAGUUAUAUUGAUACUCUAUAUAUGAUUUAUAUAUAUUUUCA